AUACAUCUCAUGUGAGUAUCCCUUCAGAAUUUGUGUCAAGUUCUGGCGGCGUAAACAUGCCUGUAUACUUUUGUAGGUCAGAGUUCAAGGGGAAGUAAUGUGCAUCGGUGGCUUUAUAAGUCUGAUGGAAAGCAUAAAGGGCGGUGCAUGAAGUUUUGGUUGGAUCCUUGGUGCUUUGUUCAGCCUUAAUUUAGGGUGCAUUACUAGUCCAAUCUCCUAUUCUUAGAGAACUCUCCCUUCUUUCUCCUGUUAAAAUCUUAAUUCUUUCUAAAAUUCUUCUACAUCAUCAUUGCUGAAAUUACUGUCAAAAUUGCCCUCCCUGAGUUGGUGUUCACAAUCCCUUCUCAAAUCUGGGCUUAUUUAUUUGAAAUUUUGUUUGGUUUAAAGCUCAUUGUUUUCCAGCAAUUGCAAAAAGGAGUACCUCAGGCUAACUAAACUACUCCAAUUAAUCCAGCUUCCCUCUUUACUGGUUCUAAGCGAAUGAAAAUUUAACUCUUCUACAGCAUUGCUGUUUCUCUGUAGACAAACACAAAGAGCCUGAAAUUUGAAAUGUUCAAUGUUAAGAGCCAUAAAUAACCAGACAUUAAUAUUAUGCAGUUUUGACAUGUCACUUUACAGCUAGCUAGAUGUUCACAGUUAAUAUUUCGCCUAGCAUCCGAUGCCUGGCGGGAAUCAUCAACUUUAUUAUGUUUUGAUAAUGGCGUUCUUCCUAUAUUCCCUAAAAGAAAUAAGUAAAUCUGGACUCGAGGAGGCACUAAAUAUAGUUAUAGUUGGCUUCAUUAUUUUGAUUUCAUGAUGGCAAUUUACUUGUGAAAUAUUUAAUGUUUUUUUUCAAAUUUAACAGUGGAGUAGCUUGUGGUUUGAAAAAAGAAACUGAGAAUCUUUGGUCUGUUUAUUCUCUCACAGGUGACAUUGUUUUGCUUGUGUUCUUCAAAGUCAAGCCUUAGCAGCUGUAGUUGAUCCUCUUUUGUACCCAAAAUAGGAGUUGUGGUUGACCCAUCCUCUUCAAUUAGACGAUAUUCGAAAGCUUUUAUCCUCUUAGAUGGUAUAUAAUACACGAUAGAUCUUCAAGACAGUUCUCAGCUACGUAAAUGGAUGUGCCUGGUCAAGCAGAGUUGCAGAUUGAUGCAAGUUUUUGUUUAUUUAUCAAAGGAAUAUGCAGGAGUGUUGGCAUUCUAGAUCUGCUUACAGUUUAUGAUGUUAUUGUGAGUUUUAACGUUCUCAUAAUUUUUUUUAACGGUUUGCAAAGUUUGUGCCUUCCGUUUGUUUAAAAUGAGAAUCAUUUCUGUAAAGUUUAUGGUUGUGGAUUGGAAUUGGAUCCUUGGAAUUCCAUAUAAAAGUACUGGGUAAUUUUAUAUUAUGGGAUCAUCUCAUUUAUUGCUUUUGUAUUCUUUUCUGCUGCGAGGGAUAACUUAAUCAUAAGCUAAUGGAACCUGUGUAUCAUGUUUUAGAUUGUGGAUAACCAAGACAAACCUAUAUGCAUUUAUUUGGUAUCAUUACAAAACGGAAGCUGAAUCAAACAGAUCACAACUCUUACUUACAUCAUAGCCUCAUAUCAUGUAUGCGUUAUAACCUUAGUAAGCUGACAUAAAUGUAACUGUACCUAAAUGAUGAUUGCAGUUACUGAGUACUCGUAU
rnacentral:lncRNA from 1 species